AUUGAACGCUGGCGGAAUGCUUUACACAUGCAAGUCGAACGGUAGAGGGGGCAACCCCUUGAGAGUGGCGAACGGGUGAGUAAUAUAUCGGAACGUGCCCAGUCGUGGGGAUAACGUAGCGAAAGCUACGCUAAUACCGCAUACGAUCUAUGGAUGAAAGCGGGGGAUCGCAAGACCUCGCGCGAUUGGAGCGGCCGAUAUCAGAUUAGGUAGUUGGUGAGGUAAUGGCUCACCAAGGCGACGAUCCGUAGCUGGUCUGAGAGGAUGAUCAGCCACACUGGGACUGAGACACGGCCCUGACUCCUACGGGAGGCAGCAGUGGGGGAAUAUUGGACAAUGGGCGAAAGCCUGAUCCAGCAAUGCCGCGUGAGUGAUGAAGGCCUUAGGGUUGUAAACUGCUUUUGUACGGAACGAAAAGGUUUCUAUUAAUACUAGGAGCUCAUGACGGUACCGUAAGAAUAAGCACCGGCUAACUACGUGCCAGCAGCCG
rnacentral:rRNA from 1 species